GGAGGAAUAUUGCACAAUGGACGAAAGUCUGAUGCAGCGACGCCGCGUGAGGGAUGAAGGCCUUCGGGUUGUAAACUUCUGAAAAUAGCACCGGCUAACUACGUGCCAGCAGCAGCGGUCAUACGUAGGGUGCGAGCAUUGUCCGGAUUUAUUGGGCGUAAAGAGUUCUGUAGGCGGUUUCAUAAGUCAGGGGUUAAAUCCCUCCGCUCAACGGAGGAUCCGCUCUUGAUACUGUGGAACUUGAGACAAC
rnacentral:rRNA from 1 species